rnacentral:rRNA from 1 species
AGACACGGUCCAGACUCCUACGGGAGGCAGCAGUGGGGAAUAUUGCACAAUGGGGGAAACCCUGAUGCAGCCAUGCCGCGUGUGUGAAGAAGGCCUUCGGGUUGUAAAGCACUUUCAGCGAGGAGGAAAGGUGUAGCUAAUACUGCGCUGUGACGUUACUCGCAGAAGAAGCACCGGCUAACUCCGUGCCAGCAGCCGCG